UUAUUUUAUUUUUGUAAAUAAUACUUUUCUUUAUUUGUUUCACAAUUACAAGUGUACCCUCAAUCCCCGGAAUAGAACGAUCCCUAUUUGCUUAUACUACUAACGAUAUUUCAGGGUUAAAUUAUGCUCUUGCUUUGAGCGACAUCAAGUAGUUUAGAGAGAAGCACAGAAACAUUGCCUCAACAAAUCAGUCUCUGCUGUUCUUUGCAUUAUAAUCUCGUUGUUCGAUAUGUGUCAUUUGUCUUCCUCUUAUCAGAAGCUCUAUCUAUUGGUUUUGAUUCCAAGCCAUAAACCAAUUCACCUACAGCUUUAAAGACCAAAGGCCAGACAUGCAUUAACGUAUAGAUUUGUCAGAAAAGGACAAAGAUAGUUGUUUCAUCCAAAGGCCAAAGGCCAAAGAAAUAUCAGAUUACGAGUGGCUUUCCAGUUCUGAAGAACAAAACAAUAUUGGGUUUCCCAAAUCUUCAGUCAUAGGUAUGUGUUGCUUUGUUUUGUGUAAGAACAGCUUUUUUUGGUAACCAUAUGAGCAUGAAGGCUGUUAUAUUCCUUUUUAAUGGUUUUGAAGGAGUUUUUAGCUGUUUUAUAACUACUUAUGAGGUAUAAAAUUGAAGCUUUCAUAUCUAAAUACCUAAACCCUAAACAAGAAUUCAAUUGUUGUAAUGUUUAAUCAACCUAAUUAGAUAUACUCAUUAUCUCCCUUGUUUCUACCUGAAAUGCCUAUUUGAAGAUCUGUUCUGUUUUUCUAGCUAUUGACAAAUCUAUAUGGUAUUGUCCAGGAUAGAUUGCCUGAAACUCUCGAUGCAUUAACCAAAAAAAAACUAUGCAUUAACCAAAAAAAAACUAUAAACACAGUCCUUCAUUUUCUUUAACGGAAACUUUCAUUACAGCAACUCUUAGAACCCAAAGACGGAGACUUUCUUUCAUUACAGCAAAAACCCAUAACCGAAAUCAUAGUAUUGAUCGAACCCAGUUGAGAUUUGUAUGAGAAAACCAAAACCCAUGUUGCAAAAUGUGCCAAAAGGAACAUAAAUAGGGUCUCAAAGAUUCAGAAACGCGUAGAGAAAAGAAGAAGAAGAAAAAAACUGACCUUUAUUGGGUAUUGUGAGAUUCUUCUUUGCUUUCAGAGAUCGUGCAAGCAACUGCAUCUAGUUUUGUUUGCUUUGCUUUGCUUUCAGGUCCGGUUCUGGCGUUGUCUAGCAGAAAGCUUUCUGGGUUAUCUCUGGCGUCUGUUACAGGAAAAAGACUGUUCAUAUUACCAAAUCCAGAAAUUGAAGCAAACCCAGAUCACCAUUUACACAGAUACAAAGACUGCAAGGAAUCAAAGAAAACCCAAAGCAAAAGACAGAUCCAUGCA